AGAGUGUGAUCCUGGCUCAAGACGAACGCUGGCGGCGUGCCUAAUACAUGUAAGUCAAGCGAGCUUGCCUAGAUGAUUUUAGUGCUUGCUCUAAAUGAAACUAGAUACAAGCGAGCGGCGGACGGGUGAGUAACACGUGCGUAACCUGCCCAAGAGACUGUGAUAACACCUGAAAACAGAUGCUAAUACCGGAUAUCAACACUAGAGUCAUGUCUAGAGUUUGAAAGACGGUUCUGCUUUCACUCUUGGAUGGUCCUGAGGUGCAUUAGCUAGUUGGUAAGGUAACGGCUUCCCAAGGCAAUGAUGCAUAGCCGAGUUGAGAGACUGAUCGACCACCUUGGGACUGAGACCCGGCCCAAACUCCUACGGGAGGCAGCAGUAGGGAAUCUUCCACAAUGGACGAAAGUCUGAUGGAGCAACGCCGCGUGAGUGAAGAAGGGCUUCGGCUCGUAAAGCUCUGUUGGUAGUGAAGAAAGAUAGAGGUAGUAACUCGCCUUUAUUUGACGGUAAUUAGUUAGAGAGUCACGGCUAACUUCGUGCCAGCAACCGCGGUAAUUCGUAGGUGGCCAGCGUUGUCUGGAUUUAUUGGGCGUAAAGGGAGUGCAGGCGGUUCAAUAAGUUUGAUGUGAAAGCCUUCGGCUCCACCGGAGAAUUGCAUUAGAAACUGUUGAACUUGAGUUCAGAAGAGGAGAGUGGAACUCCAUGUGUAGCGGUGGAAUGCGUAGAUAUAUGGAAGAACACCAGUGGGGAAGGCGGCUCUCUGGUCUGCAACUGACGCUGAGGCUCGAAAGCAUGGGUAGCGAACAGGAUUAGAUACCCUGGUAGUCCAUGCCGUAAACGAUGAGUGCUAAGUGUUGGGAGGUUUCCGCCUCUCAGUGCUGCAGCUAACGCAUUAAGCACUCCGCCUGGGGAGUACGACCGCAAGGUUGAAACUCAAAGGAAUUGACGGGGGCCCGCACAAGCGGUGGAGCAUGUGGUUUAAUUCGAAGCAACGCGAAGAACCUUACCAGGUCUUGACAUCCAGUGCAAACCUAAGAGAUUAGGUGUUCCCUUCGGGGACGCCGAGACAGGUGGUGCAUGGCUGUCGUCAGCUCGUGUCGUGAGAUGUUGGGUUAAGUCCCGCAACGAGCGCAACCCUUGUCAUUAGUUGCCAUCAUUAAGUUGGGCACUCUAAUGAGACUGCCGGUGACAAACCGGAGGAAGGUGGGGAUGACGUCAAGUCAUCAUGCCCCUUAUGACCUGGGCUACACACGUGCUACAAUGGACGGUACAACGAGAAGCGAACCUGCGAAGGCAAGCGGAUCUCUUAAAGCUGUUCUCAGUUCGGACUGUAGGCUGCAACUCGCCUACACGAAGCUGGAAUCGCUAGUAAUCGCGGAUCAGCACGCCGCGGUGAAUAAGUUCCCGGCCCUUGUACACACCGCCCGUCA
rnacentral:rRNA from 1 species